AUGAAGACCGCAGCUAAAUGCGCGUCACAAUGUGAACUGCAGGACACAUGAACAUUGAUAAGUUGAACGCAUAUUGCACGUCGUGGGAACCUACCAUGAUGUACACAUACUUGAGC
rnacentral:rRNA from 1 species